rnacentral:miRNA from 1 species
UACAGGAAUGCUCCAACCACCAUAACCACUACAGUGUGCUGUAGUGGUUAUGGUGCCAGGAGUGCACCAUAA